UUGAACAAAUUGGUAAAAGAUGAACUGGCAUAACAAAUAAAAAGCAAAACUUUUUUUUGAAAAUGCUAAUAAACCUGGAAAGUGGCUAGUCUAUAAAUUGAAGGAGAAAGAGAAGAAAUGGAAAAGUAAAUUGUAGGAUGAGGA